rnacentral:SRP_RNA from 1 species
GCUUUUAAAAAAUAAGAAAGCCAUGCUGUGGGAGGAUCGCUUGAGCCCAGAAGUUCUGGACUGUAGUGUGCUUUAGUAUCUGGGUGUCUGCACUAUGUUUAGCAUUAGCAUGAUGACCUCCUGGGAGUGGGGGACCACCAGGUUGCCUAAGGAGGCGUGAACUUGUGCAGGUCAGAAAUGCAACAGAUCCAAGCUCCUGUGCUAAUCAGUAGUGGCAUCGUGCCUAUGAAUAGCCACUGCACUCCAGCCUGGGCAACAUAGUGAGACCUUGUCUCU